rnacentral:rRNA from 1 species
AUCUGCAGCUCUCGCCUGGUUGCCCACUGAAGCUAAGCAGGGCUGAGCCUGGUCACUACCUGGAUGGGAGACCUCCUGGGAAAACUAGGUUGCUGCUGGAA